UCUGAACAGGAUUUCUUCUUGAGGGGCUGGGAAAAAUGAACUGACUAAUAGAAACUGUGAGACCAAGAAGGGCUGCUACUGCAGGUUGAAAAGACAGAUGCAAUGGAGAAACUUCUUUCAACUCCUCAAUUCAAUCCACAGAUAUCCAGCAACAGAAAGGAUGGGCAGUAGGUACCUUUACUACCUUGGAAGCAGUGUGGAAACAGGGCAAUAUAAGAGAUUCACAAAACAAGGAGACAAGGAUGCCAAAUAAAAGGAGGUAAGGAUUGAGAUAACUACAGAGAAACUGUAGCAAUGCCCAUAAUACUGUCUGCAAGAGCAAUGUCAGAAACAGUAAUGUAAAUGAUUGUAUCAGUCCUUCAGUUGAUAUAGGAACCAGGGAAAUAAGGACACUUAACUGGACGAUGCAGACACUGGAGCACAGCUCUGUGAUGGGACCUGACUUCUACUAGGUGAGAUCACAGUGCCUGAGGAAAAAGACAAGAAAGCACUGCUGCUCUUUCAGAUAUGACAUGGAGCUUUCUUUUUCUCACACUGCCCUCAAGCAGACCACUCAUACAUGUCCUGUUUUCAAUGAAAAACACAUGUUUGAAAUUUUAUAAAUGAAAGCUGCUAAAGAAAACUGCUAUUAUGAGUAGAUUUUGAUACAUGUUUUACAUUCUUUGGGGUCUGAGAUCCCAUUUGAAUCAGAACUGCUGUCUGCAAACACCCUGCUGAAGUCAGCAGAAGAUGAGGAUUUACUGUAAUCACUACAGCACUGGGC
rnacentral:lncRNA from 1 species